GUCGAACGCGAAAGGGGCUUCGGCCCUGAGUAGAGUGGCGAACGGGUGAGUAACGCGUGGGUGACCUACCUCCGAGUGGGGGAUAACGUCCCGAAAGGGACGCUAAUACCGCAUGACAUCCCGCUUUUGAACAGGCGGAGAUCAAAGCUGGGGAUCGCAAGACCUGGCGCUUGAAGAGGGGCCCGCGUCUGAUUAGCUAGUUGGUGAGGUAACGGCCCACCAAGGCGACGAUCAGUAUCCGGCCUGAGAGGGCGGACGGACACACUGGGACUGAGACACGGCCCAGACUCCUACGGGAGGCAGCAGUGGGGAAUUGUUCGCAAUGGGCGCAAGCCUGACGACGCAACGCCGCGUGGAGGAUGAAGGUCUUCGGAUUGUAAACUCCUGUUGCCAGGGACGAAUGGCUCCGACCUAACACGUCGGAGAGUGACGGUACCUGGUGAGGAAGCCCCGGCUAACUCUGUGCCAGCAGCCGCGGUAAUACAGAGGGGGCUAGCGUUGUUCGGAAUUACUGGGCGUAAAGGGCGCGUAGGCGGCCUUCUAAGUCGAACGUGAAAUCCCCGGGCUCAACCCGGGAACUGCGUCCGAUACUGGUUGGCUUGAAUCCGGGAGAGGGAUGUGGAAUUCCAGGUGUAGCGGUGAAAUGCGUAGAUAUCUGGAGGAACACCGGUGGCGAAGG
rnacentral:rRNA from 1 species